CACCAACCUCCUUGCUGGCUUAUGAUGAAAAGGGCUCAGUAGACUGUAACCCUGGCCCUAGAGAGAGAGAAGGCCUACGUGGAGGGUCGCAGUGAGCCCCUGAGGCUAGCAUAAACCGCCUGGAAGCGCGGAACCCACAGGGACAAGGUCGGAGCUCUGCCACACAGUGUACACUUUGAAACAACUCCCAUUGUGUUUGUCAAUGAUCCUGAGUAGUAAUCAUAAAUGUACAGCAAAUAGUACAAAAUUAGUAGGCGCCUUGUCAGUGUUACAUUCAGAAUGUGCACCAAGCAGUUCAUAAGACCCCCAAACUGCAGGGCCAGGUAGAACCCAGUACAACACGUUACGGUGACCCACUCUUAGAGCUCUUUCAAAGCCUCCUUGAGCCAUAUAAAUUCACAGCUUUUUGAGCUUUUUUGGUAGCCCUUGUAUCUAUCUAGACAGCCACUCCACCGCGACCCUGGAGGCAACUUUUCCUCCUUUGCCUCACAGAUAUUACGCAGGACCCAGCAGGCAGCUAUAACCACUAGAAUAUUUUUCUCACUGAACUCCAGUCUUGUGAGUAAACCACUCCAGGGCCCUUUCAAUCUACUAAAAGCACAUUCAACGGUCAUUCGGCACCUACUGAGCUGGUAGUUGAACUUUCCUUGAUGCUGUCAUGGUGAUUGGUGUAUGGCUUCAUGAGCCAAGAGAAUAAGGAGUAGGGUGGGUCCCCAGGAUCACUAUUGGCAUUUCAACAUUGCCAAUAGUAAUCGUCUGGUUGGGAAAGAAACUCCCUGCUUGUACCUUUCUGAACAGUGCUGUGUUCUUAAAGAUGCAAGCAGUGUGCACCUUCCCUGACCAGACAACACUAAUGUUGGUGAAGUGUCACCAGUGAUCCACCAACGCUUGCAUAACCAUAUGAAAAUAGCCUUUUCUGUUUGACAUACUCUGUGACAAGGUGGUCUUGUGCCAAAAUAGGGAUAAGCAUAUCGUCUGUCACUCCACUGCAGUUUGGGAACCCCAUUGCUGCAAAGCCAUCCAGUAUGUCUUGCACAAUGCCAAGAGUCACAGUCCUACUUGAUUAGUGGCCAGGCACGCUUGCAUGACAGCAAUCCCCACAUUGGAUUUUCCAAAUCCAAAGUGAUUUCCCACUGACCGGUAGCAAUCUGGCAUUGCAAAUUUCCACAGUGUGAUUGCCGCUUGCUUCACCGCUAUCUGUGCAGCUCUCAUUCUGGUGUCCUUGUGCUGGAGGGCUGGGGCGAGCUUGCCACAUGGAUCCAGCAAUGUAGCCUUGAUGGAUCCAAAAUUUAUGCAGCCACCACUGCUCAUGAUCCCAAACUUGCAUUAUGAUGGGAUCCCACCAGUCAGUGCUUGUUUCUUGGGCCCAGAAGUGGUGCUCUUCUGUUUGCAGCUGCUCCCUGAAUGCCACUAACAACCUUGAAUUGGUUCUCCCUCUGUUCCACAGCAGUCUGAUCUCCAGGAAAUCAUCAUAUUCCCUGCAGCAAUUCUUGUGGCUCUACAGAUACUGGCGGAUCGGGCAUCCGGUGUUUGCAACACUCGUGACAAUAGUGCAGAGCUGUGCAGGCUCCAUACUUUUGUCAGAGAUGGCAGACAGUGACAAGUCCCACGCAGGAGCUCGAAUCCCAAGAAGUGGCCUGUCAAGGAAACUGAGGCAGAAUUUGCUGUAUGAUGUAAUGGGACUGUAACCUUCAAGUUAAACUAAAGUGGGGAAACCAAGGCAGGGAGUGGUGGAAUGACUUGCAAAAGGUCACACAAUGAAUGUAACUAAGCUCCACUGGACACAGGCUACCUAGAUAGUGAAGCACAUGCAGUUGCUGUAUGGUUGACAUGGCUGCAUACUUCGAAGGGAGAAGCACCUGCAUUUUAGAAGGAUUGCUUUUAAAGAUAAAUUAUGCUUGUCUGCAUAUAAACUCUGUGAGGCCAGCACAUGACAGAUUCAUGUGCUUGUUUAGUGUGAAUUGUAAUCAGUAAGGACCAGAGCUUGUUCACACUGGAGUUAAGAAGAGUUUGGACAUUAACGUCAUUGAGAGCAGGAUUCAGUGAUGAUAAUACCUUGCUCUUAUGUAGCACUCUCCAUCAGGAGAUCUCAAAGCCCUUUACAAAAGAAGUAUCGUUAUGCUAAUUUUAUAUAUGGGGAAAAUGACUCGCCUAAGAUCACCCAACAGGCCAAGUUGGGGACAGAAGCCAGGACUCCUAGGCCAGUAUGCUAGCUACUAGGCCAC